GGCAGCAGUGUCUCCCAGUGACUCCAAUAGAAUGUCACACCUUCUGCUGGGCUGCCUGCAACUUUCUGCAUAGACUAGUUAAGGAAACUUAACCUAGGCCUGACUUUAGUUAAAUCUUCUAAUAUUUUCCUGGUUUCCUUUUAAGUACAGUAGCUUUUGCAGGCUGAAAUCCCCUGGUAUUUUCUUGGUC